rnacentral:rRNA from 1 species
GACGAACGCUGGCGGCGUGCCUAAUACAUGCAAGUAGAACGCUGAAGAGAGGAGCUUGCUCUUCUUGGAUGAGUUGCGAACGGGUGAGUAACGCGUAGGUAACCUGCCUUGUAGCGGGGGAUAACUAUUGGAAACGAUAGCUAAUACCGCAUAACAAUGGAUGACACAUGUCAUUUAUUUGAAAGGGGCAAUUGCUCCACUACAAGAUGGACCUGCGUUGUAUUAGCUAGUAGGUGAGGUAAUGGCUCACCUAGGCGACGAUACAUAGCCGACCUGAGAGGGUGAUCGGCCACACUGGGACUGGGACACGGCCCAGACUCCUACGGGAGGCAGCAGUAGGGAAUCUUCGGCAAUAGGGGCAACCCUGACCGAGCAACGCCGCGUGAGUGAAGAAGGGUUUCGGAUCGUAAAGCUCUGUUGUAAGUCAAGAACGGGUGUGAGAGUGGAAAGUUCACACUGUGACGGUAGCUUACCAGAAAGGGACGGCUAACUACGUG